UACGUAGGGUGCGAGCGUUGUCCGGAAUUAUUGGGCGUAAAGAGCUCGUAGGCGGUGUGUCACGUCGGCCGUGAAAACCUGGGGCUUAACUCUGGGCGUGCGGUCGAUACGGGCAUCACUAGAGUUCGGCAGGGGAGACUGGAAUUCCUGGUGGUAGCGGUGAAAUGCGUAGAUAUCAGGAGGAACACCGGUGGUGUAGACGGCUUCGUGGACCGUAACUGACGUCUGAGACA
rnacentral:rRNA from 1 species